AGCAGUUCAUGUUUUCAUAUUUUAAAAUUGUUUUGAUCCUGUUUUCUGCUGACUCGUGGGCUUUUUAAAGUCCUAGGCCUGUUUCAGAGCCCAGAGCACCCAAUCAGAUGAUGAUGAGCUUCAAGUCUAGUGAAGAGUGUCACAUUCACACAACUACCUCUAGAAUAAUGCAAAAAGGGAAAUGUAUAUCAAAGAAGCCACGGCCACUUGAGAUGUGCAGUCCGUGCACUCUGGCAGAUGGACACAUCCGUGAAGCCACUGCUCUAAACAACGUAACGGAUGUGCCCUGCAUUCUCAGAAGCGCAGCCCCCCUUUGCUCUUAGUCACAAACUGAUCCAGAUUUUGUCAUUCUAGAUUAUUUUUUGUUGUUGUUUCCGAGUAUUUUGUAU